ACUUUAGAAAGAGAGUUAAAUAGCAUAUAAAAUUAUUAAAAGAGAAGCGCUUAUAGCUAGACUUAUCUAUAGUUACUUAUCUAGACUUUUAUCUAGUACACUCUUCUAUAGAUAGGCUAGUAUUAGUUUAGGCAGUUAGAUAAAGGUCUCUAUUAUAUAUCUUCUUUUAGAGAAGCCUUAUAGAGAAGAUAAUAUAUAACUAGCCUAGACUAAGAUCUGCGCAUCUACUAGGAUGCUAGCGUAAUAGCUAUAAGCAGCCUAUCUUAAAAUAUAGACUAAGAAGUCUAAUAUCUAUGCAAGUAUUUAGAUAUUAAGCUUAGAUGCGUAAUAAAAGUAAAUAGAGAUAGAAACCUUUUAGAUAUACUAUUAACUAAUUCUAAUAUCUUUAGAAGAAUUUAAGUAAGAGCAUAGCUAUUAGGAUCUAAAAGAUAGUAAACUAUGCUUAAAUAGAGUAAAGCUAGAGAAAACUCUAGUAGAGGCUUAUAGUAGUUCUAACGUGCAAAUUAAUUAUUAAAUUUAGGCAUAGAGGCAAAAGAAUAAUUAAACUAUCUAGUAGCUAGUUUCUAUUAAAGUUUCUCUUAGAAUAGCAGUAACGUAUUUAGUUUUAUAAGAUAAAGCAAAUAAUUAGAGGCCUAGAGGUUAAAAUAAUCUUUAUCUAUUCUUAAACUUUAAAUAUAUAAGAAGUUCUUAUUACUUAAUUAAACGUAGAUACUUAAAUAUACUAUUACUAGUAGGCUAUUUUUAGUAAGCAGAACUAGCGAUAUAGGAUAAACUAAAUAUAGAGUUAAGAUGCUAGAAUAUACGCUUAUUAGAUACUAUAAAAGAUAUUAGUUUAUCUAGAUAGCAGGAUAGUAGCUAUAGAAGUUAGAAUCUGCUAAGAAGUAUAUAAUAACUUACCUACUAAAUAAACUAGCUCUAAAAAUAGAUAGCGCUUAAGCAUAUUAUCUAUACUCUGCUGCUAGAGCAGAACUUAAGCUCUAGUAAGUAGGCAGGCAUAGAGGCUUAUAAUAAAGCCUUAGAGCUAACUCUAGAUUAAAUAGCCUCUAGUAUAGAUCUUAGUAGUAGUAGCAAAUACUUAAAUAAGAACUUUAAGAACUAAAGUAGAGAAAGAUUCUAUAUAAAUAGUAGUUAGAUAUAGGUUAGUUAAUUCUAAGAGAUAGAGUAGUUCUAUUUUAAUAUUAGCGCUUACGCUACGCUCUUAAAAGAAAAGCUAGUUAAUAUUCCGAUAUCUAGAUAUAGAUUCUUUAUAGCAAUAUAACUAAGAGCAGAGAUCUUAGCAAGAGCUCUAAGAAGAGUUCUCUUUUCUUCUUAAUAGUCUAUUACUCUAAAAUUAGUUUAUCUAGAGCUAGAGUUUAAUAGCUAAAAGAGCGCUGCACUUUUAUAGCAUUUAGUGCGCUCCUAAUAAGCCUUAAAAAUCUGCUUAAAGAAAUAGUUUUUACGCUAGAUUAUACUUAUAACUAUAGCAGAUCUCUAAGAUAAAAAGCCUCUAGUUAAUAGAAUAAUAUAGAUAAAAGAAGUUAGUAAAAUAGAUCUAUAACUUUAGAAAAAGAAUUAGCUCUAAGAGUUAGAUAUAUUAGGCCUUAGAGAGAAGCCUCUAGCGCAGAAGAGCACUAGCUGCAAGAUAGGCGCCUUUUAGCGCUAGAAUGCAGGUAUUCUUAGUAGGCUUUAGCUAUCUAGCGUACGUUUAAUAACUAACUUAGAACUAGUAUAGAUAAGAGAAAUCUAACUAUCUAAUUAAAAUAUAGCAUUGCAAUAGCUAGAAAGUAGUAUUAACGCAAUAUAAUUUCUGCCUAGUGCUCUAAAUAUUAAAGCAAAGAGAUUCGACUAAGCGCGAGUAAAUAGCAGAAGUAACUAUAACUCUCUUAAGAUAGCUAAAUACCUUAUUAUCUAAUUAGUAACGCGCAUAAAUAGAUUAAUAAGAUUUCUACUAUCUCUAUCUACUAUCUAGCGAAACUAUAGCUAAGAGAAUAGGCUUAGCUAAAUUAGUAGAGAAAGAAGACUCUAUUAAGCUUAACUCUAGUUUAAUAUUAUAAAAAGAUAUAGAGAGUAUAGAAUAGAUAGAAGCUUUAGCGCUAGUAAAAUACUACUACUCUUAUUAUUUUUUUACUUAUUGCGUAG
rnacentral:rRNA from 1 species